rnacentral:rRNA from 1 species
UACAGAGGUCUCAAGCGUUGUUCGGAUUCAUUGGGCGUAAAGGGUGCGUAGGCGGCGCGUUAAGUCGGGUGUGAAAUCUCGGAGCUUAACUCCGAAACUGCAUUCGAUACUGCCGUGCUUGAGGACUGGAGAGGAGACUGGAAUUUACGGUGUAGCGGUGAAAUGCGUAGAUAUCAGGAGGAACACCGAUGGCGAAGGCAGAUCUCUGGGCCAUUACUGACGCUGAGGAGCGAAAGCGUGGGGAGCGAACAGG